rnacentral:lncRNA from 1 species
UUUUUUUUUUUUUUUUUUCUGUACCUACAGCAUGCAAAAGUUCCCAGACCAGGGAUUAAACCCUAGCCACAGCAGUGACAAUAACAGAUCCUUAACUGCUAGUCCACCGGGGAACUGCAAGUACCAAAUGAUUAAAGAGAAAACUAUAAUUUAAGGAGCUGGGAUAUUGUGUUUAAUAUGCUAGACACACUCAGAUUCGGACAGCUUGGAUUAUUUGCUUUAUCCUCCUUGGGCUUCAGUCUUGCUCAGGUUUAUUAUUUUACGAACCCAAGACCUACCUACACAAAAUAACAAAAUAAUCUUAUUUAAAAAUGGUAUACCCCCAUUUAAAAAGUCCUUAGGCUCCCCUUACUGUGUUUCAUGGGGCAUGACAAAAUUCCCCAAACUUCCCUCUAAGGGCUGGGGUGAGGGGGAGGAGGGGGAAGCAUAGGAUUUAGUCAUGUAUUCCUUUGUUUCUGGAUUAACAACCAUGUAUUGAGUGCCUGAUAUGAAACAAGCAUCUUGCUCGGUUCUUAGAAUAAGCAAAAUGUUCAUUGUUUCUGUCUACAGAGAAGGUACAAUCUAUCAGUAGAUACAAACCAUAAAGGAAUUUUACUGGUUUACUGCAAAAUGUUCAUUGUUUCUGUCUACAGAGAAGGUACAAUCUAUCAGUAGAUACAAACCAGUAAAGGAAUUUUACUGGUUUACUGAGCAUGAGAGUGUAGAGUAGAAGGACAAGGAGUGAGGAAAACUGGGUCUCACUGCAACUCACUGACGUGAUCCUUAAUUCUGAAGUCAUAAUUUAGAGGAAGCUCAUCAGGGAAGAAGGGACCAGAGCUGUUAGUUUCCUGGGCAGAAAGAAGAGCUUGUCCCCAAGUAAUAAAAAACAAGAGAAGAAACAGCACUCACCAAAUGACCCACAGUCCUCAGGCACUGACCAUACACCAGCAGAGGAAGUAGGUGGAGUCUGUUAUUCACUGGUCCCCAUGCCAAAAACUAGGCCAUGCUCUGACUAGGACUGCUCUCAAUAUACAUGUGCCCCAAGCUGUCUCUGGCCUUCUGGAGCCUUUUGCCAUGGUCUUUUCUGUGUAUUCUCUGGCAUCCGAAAGACCAUUUCAGUGAAGCUGAAGUUUACAUAUGAAAUCAGACUGCAAAUCAACUGAUGUCAGUUAUUCUAGAGAACCAUUUGGGAGGUCUCUAUUUUAGAGACCUCAAAGUCUAACAUAGUCCGUUUUCCCACCAGGAGUGGGAAAGGUAAGUGUUUAAGCCACAUAGCUGGUUUGUGAGAGAGGGGCCAUAUUGUGCAGUGAAUGGAUCCUGCUCCUUUAAAUAUUAAAUUCUUAGUGAUAUCUACACCAAGUGCAGUGUCUACACCAUAAGAGGCUGAAGGAAGGGCAGAUUCAAGUUCUCCUUGGCAUCCUCAGUCUUUAUUGUCAUAAAUUUGAGGCCGAAUAGUUAACACAUGGCUUCAGUCUGAAGAAGGCAGCAACCAGAAUAUUCUCUUGCCUACCUGAAGUCUGAGGCAUGAUGCAAAUGAUGCCCCAUUUCAUUUGGUUGUGACUAAAAUGUUGAGAAAACCUAGAUAAAGCAAAUAACAUUGCUUUGGCAAAAAAAGAGUGAUUUCUCUGGCUCUCAGAGAAUUGUCAAUGCUCUUUAUGUCACCUAAUUAAUUUAGGAAGCUAUUUACAUGGACACAAAAUCAACCCACUCUGUAUGUGUCAUUAGUCUAUGGGCCAGUACCCACCACUGCCUUGUUUUCAGAGGCAAAAUGCAUUCAACCUCACCUACUUAUUUCAUUACCUAUGACUUUUUUCUCCAUCACCAUGAUUAUAAGGAACAUUUGAUAACAGAUUUUUCAUCAUUUAGAAAAUAAUUUAUUAUAGCAUGUUGUGGGAAUGGGGAUGAAAUAUUAAUCAAACAUAUUUUCUUUCACCUCUAGUCUAGUGGAAGGGCAAAAAAUAAACAGGAAAGUUGAAUAUGAUCAGUGUGAGCAUAAACUGCUACAGGAGCACGCAGGGGUAUUUCUGACCUUGGGGGUUGGCCAGCCUCAAAGAGGGAGGCAGCUCUGUCUAAAAACAAGGAGCAGCAUGUGUGCUUAGCAUGUGUAUCAGAAGCUUCUCUUUGACGAAGAGUGUUGACAAUGAAGUGAAGAGAAGAUGCCCAAUGCAGCCUGAACAUUUAUUACACUUUCAGGAAACAUACAGUGGACUGUGAACCACAAGGAGGAAUCUGCACUGUGGAGGAGAAUUUGCAGAGCAGGUGAGAGCUGACAGAAAGAAACAUAAUUUACAACCCUCAGGGGCAUUUCAGUCCCUUGCCAAAGUGAUGUAAUCAGUGAUGUUUGUGUGAAAUAUCAAAUACAUGGAAACCCUUACAGAAUCCAGAAUGCUCAACGUGUCUGCAGAUCACUGACAACGUGAUGAACACAUGUGCACAGGGAACGCUUAAACAGGAUCUUCAGAACACGCAUGAACACGUGUGAACACCCCAACAGCAUCCGCAAAAGACCAGGGGGUGCUCUGUGUUCAGGAAAGUAACUCAUUCUUGAUGAGCAAUUUUGCCACAUGCUGUUCAGAAGAAAACCAAAAACAGCACUGGAAUUACAAGGAUUUUUAAAAUCAAAGACAUUUUUAGAAAACAGAAUCUUUUCAGUCCACACAAAACACAUCUAGGCCCCCAAAGCCACAGAGGGUCUAUUGCUCAGAAGAGGGCUGAGAAUAUAGAUUUUCCAUGUUUCCCUUUCUUUAUUAGGUUUCAUUUGUGUUUGCUAACUCUACGAAUCAUUGUUCAGAUGUGCUAUUAGUCCGACUACCAUUUUAACCACCACAUUACAGUUAUCCAGGAGGCAAAUGUGUGUGACGUUCCUAAUAAACACUGAAUUUCUCUAUCUUCAACAUCUGAAACAAAAGAGGAAGACAUAAUACAAAGCAAAAGACUCAAAUGGUAGUAAUUUCAUUUUCUAUCUUUUGGUUAUUGAAUCAUUUCAGGAGAUGGGCCUCCAUAAAAACCUUAUCAAAAUCAGAGUCUGCCUGUGGCUAAUAUACUGACCCAUAUUCUAACAUCCUACAGUCACAUACUCCUUGAAAAAUACUGAAUGUGCCAUUGUCCUCAUCAUUACAUCAAGUCAUUUAAUGACAAACCCAUUUUUAGGUGUCCCAAAUGUCUUUUUUUUUUUUUUUUACACACCUACUAGCAACUUUUGCUAAUAUAUUCUCUGCUAUACAAAUGUCUAAAUGUUCACUUCAAAACAGUAGCGGAGAAUAAGUACUCCCAUUUUAUUCAAUAGGAAGUUUUAUACAAUAGGAAACAAUAAAAUAAAGCACCUACAAUUUAGAAUGAGAAAGACCUGCUUUUGAGUUUUGGUUCAUCUACUAGUUGUCUGACCUUGGGGAAAUUACUUAACAACUCUGAACUUCGGCUCUCUUAGCUUUGAAAUACAGAUAAUAGUAGAUACCUAAUUGGGUAGUUGUGUUAAUACAGAAUUUAUGUGAAUAUACUGUACAGCCUGAUUCACUUUAGAUACUCAAUAUUAGCUAUUCUCAUGAUUACUUGUUAUUGAUAGAAAAACAUUUUUAACUUCUGAUUUUAUGGUUAGUGCUUUUCUGAAUGUGUAAUUCAGGGGACAAAGCUUAGGCUUGGACCAGCAAAAUUGGUAUUUGAAUCCUGAGUGUUCUGUGAAGUGCAAGAAAAGCCACUUAACCUCUCUGAACCAGAGCUACUUCCAAUGGGAAAUGUGAAUACGAAUGCCUACCUUGCCAGAUUAUUACAAUGACUGAAUGAGGCCAUUCUUCUCAGCACAUGGUAAACAUUCACUGAAUAGUAACUCCUAGUAUUUAUACAGUAGCGAUAAUUGACAAACAGGGAAUCAUGUAAUAUAUCUCCCCUGGAAGAAAAUAAUAUUAAUUUAUACAGGAAUGGGAGGUCCCCCUGUGGUUCAAUGGGAUUGGUGGCCUCUCUGCAGCAUAGGGAUGGAGGUUUGAUUUCUAACCCGGCCCAGUAGGCCCUGUGUUGCUGCAGCUCUGGUGUAGGUUGCAACUGCAGCUUGGAUCUGAUCCCUAGCCUGGGAACUCCAUAUGCCUCGAGGAGGCCAAAAAAAAAAAAAAAAAUGUAUAGUAGGAUAGAAAAAUAGGAUUGUCUUCAGUUGCUAUUCUUGUUGGUUAGCAGUGGGCUGGCAUGUUCUAUGAGAAGGGCUCCAGUAUUUACUAGUCUCUACAUGCAUGCAGUAUUAACCAAUAAACUGAUUAUCAUUAAGUAGAUCUAAAUAUCCCCAAAUAAGUGCAUACAGCAUUGAAAAGACAAAGUAUUCUGCAAUUAUACGUAUUUUAAGAACUGGACAUAUAAAGCAAUCGCUGUGGUCUGGGUUUUGUUUCUGUUUUCCUAUAAAAGGUGUUGGAGUAAAGAGAGUAGUGAGAAGAUCUGGAAAAGCAGCAACAACAAAAGAAGGACCAAUACUCUCUUAUUUUCCUCCAAAUCUGUCAUUUGGCAAAGCAUGUAGAUUAUUAGAAACUCAGUUACUGCCCUUGGUGUCACCAAUGAAACUUUUUUUUUUUCCUUUUAAGCUCCCACCUCUGGCCUAUGGAAGUUCUCAGGCUAGGGGUUGAAUCAGAAGUGCAGCUGCAGGCCUAUGCCAAAGCCACAGCAAUGCCAGAUCCUUAACCCACUGAGGGAGGCCAGGGAUCAAACUCAUGGACACUAUGUCAGGUUCUUAACCUGCUGAGCCACAAUGGCAAACAUUUUAAGUUAACUUAUUUCUAUUCUUUCUAUCAGUGACAGCAAUGACCAUAGAUGGAGUGAAGGGUAGAGACCUUAAGGUAACAAAGGUUUAUCAAGGGUGAUUCUAAAAGAUCCCCCUUGACAAAGAACUGCUGUUAAUACAGCAUAUAUACUAAAAAAAAAAAAAAAAAAAGGAGCAUUACAUUUCAGGGCCAAUUCUUUAGAAACCAAAAGAACAGACCUGAUAUUUGUUCAAAGUACUCAACAGGCUUUAUUUCCCAGAAUUCAGAUCUAAACUUUCAAAGUUACAGUCAACAAUUUGUCAUCAGAGCCCAAAGGAGAAGAAGGGUGGGGUGAAAGAGACAAAAGACGAAGGAAGGCAUAAAGAGACUAUUAGGAAGAGGUGGAGAGGGGCCCCUCAUUUCCCUCUGUCUACUCAGUGGGUGACAUAUCAGAUCUG